UACGAAGGGGGGCUAGCGUUGCUCGGAAUGACUGGGCGUAAAGGGCGCGUAGGCGGCUUGUAGAGUCGGAUGUGAAAUUCCUGGGCUUAACCUGGGGGCUGCAUUCGAUACCUACGGGCUUGAGUGCGGAAGAGGGUCGUGGAAUUCCCGGUGUAGCGGUGGAAUGCGUAGAGAUCGGGAAGAACAUCGGUGGCGAAGGCGGUCUGCUGGGCCGUUGCUGACGCUGAGGCGCGACAGCGUGGGGAGCAAACAGG
rnacentral:rRNA from 1 species